UUUUGUUGGAGGAGGUAUAGCUGACAGAGGGACUAUUAGCCAGCUGAAAUCUGGCUUUAACCAUUGAGCCCUUCGAAAGGAUUGGAUGUCCAACUUCCAGCAUGUAUGGGACAUGUAUGAAUUCACUACAGAUACAGCUACGUGUUGCUCUGCGCUAUGCAGCUGCAAAACACCACCAUGCAAAGCCUCCCUAGCCAGGGAACGAGUGAAGACCAACUAGAUUGGCUUCACCGACUUGCCCAAGAAGUGGUUGACUUUUGCUGGGAGCUACCUGUAAUGGAUGGAAUCAAGUUUUGCAGCGAAAGCAUAUGCAGACGAAUGACCAGACAGUGCUGUUGGUGACUCCGUUUUCUGCACGUGUCAAGCAGAUGCAUGGUAUUGCGGUGAAACAUGCCAUCUAGAGGCAGAAGGUGAUGACUACCUCCUCAACCAUACGAAAGCAAUAAUGUGGGAAGGCCUCUUGCACCUAUCUAGAAGGAUGGCGGUGCGUGUGGUGCAGCAAUGCUGGAUGACUGGAAGAUGGACAUGUUGCAAUUUUGGAACAGGAAACAUCCAAAAUAUUUCACAAUUGCACACCAC